UGCCAUUGUUUACACCAUUUCAUGUACCAGAAAGGAAAUUUUGUUCAUGUAAAAGAGAGGACGUUCACUUGCAUUACGCAGACCACGUUUACCUUAAAAACGAAGUCUUUUGUCUUCACAACAACAAUACGCUUUGUCCCUCGCCUGAGAGGAAUUCCUCAUCUAACUGCUUGGAAGAGAAGAGACA